AUUGAACGCUGGCGGCAGGCCUAACACAUGCAAGUCGAACGGUAGCACAGAGAGCUUGCUCUCGGGUGACGAGUGGCGGACGGGUGAGUAACGUCUGGGAAACUGCCCGAUGGAGGGGGAUAACUACUGGAAACGGUAGCUAAUACCGCAUAACGUCGCGAGACCAAAGUGGGGGACCUUCGGGCCUCACACCAUCGGAUGUGCCCAGAUGGGAUUAGCUAGUAGGCGGGGUAAUGGCUCACCUAGGCGGCGAUCCCUAGCUGGUCUGAGAGGAUGACCAGCCACACUGGAACUGAGACACGGUCCAGACUCCUACGGGAGGCAGCAGUGGGGAAUAUUGCACAAUGGGCGCAAGCCUGAUGCAGCCAUGCCGCGUGUAUGAAGAAGGCCUUCGGGUUGUAAAGUACUUUCAGCGGGGAGGAAGGCGGUGAAGUUAAUAGCUUCACCGAUUGACGUUACCCGCAGAAGAAGCACCGGCUAACUCCGUGUCAGCCGCCGCCGUAA
rnacentral:rRNA from 1 species